rnacentral:rRNA from 1 species
CCUACGGGAGGCUGCAGUGAGGAAUAUUGGUCAAUGGUCGGGAGACUGAACCAGCCAAGCCGCGUGAGGGAGGAAGGUACAGAGUAUCGUAAACCUCUUUUGUCAGGGAACAAAGGCGGGGACGUGUCCCCGGCUGAGUGUACCUGAAGAAAAAGCAUCGGCUAACUCCGUGCCAGCAGCCGCGGUAAUACGGAGGAUGCGAGCGUUAUCCGGAUUUAUUGGGUUUAAAGGGUGCGCAGGCGGUCUGUUAAGUCAGCGGUCAAAGCCCGGGGCUCAACCCCGGCCCGCCGUUGAAACUGGCAGUCUCGAGUUGGAGAGAAGUAGGCGGAAUGCGCGGUGUAGCGGUGAAAUGCAUAGAUAUCGCGCAGAACUCCGAUUGCGAAGGCAGCAUGCCGGCUCCACACUGACGCUGAGGCACGAAAGCGUGGGUAUCGAACAGGAUUAGAUACCCCAGUAGUC